rnacentral:rRNA from 1 species
AACGUAGGAGGCGAGCGUUAUCCGGGAUUACUGGGCGUAAAGCGCACGCCGGCGGUUCCGUUAGUCGGACGUGAAAGCUACUGGCUUAACUGGGAGAGGCCAUUCGAUACUGCGGGACUUGAGGUUGGGAGAGGAGUGUGGAAUUCCCGGUGUAGUGGUGGAAUGCGUAGAGAUCGGGAGGAACACCUGUGGCGAAAGCGGCCCUCUGGCCCACAUCUUGCGCUGAGGUGCGAAAGCGUGGGUAGCAAACAGG